ensembl:snoRNA
GGCUUCCGAGUGCUUACCACAGGCUUGUGCUUUGCAUCUACUGUGGAGAAAGAGGAAGCACAGUAAUCCUAGCCCACAUACACCCCAGCCCAGGCCCUUUGCUUGGUCUUUAUUGUGAAUGGUAAGGCCUUG